rnacentral:rRNA from 1 species
GACGAACGCUGGCGGCGUGCCUAAUACAUGCCAGUAGAACGCUGAAGGAGGAGCUUGCUUCUCCGGAUGAGUUGCGAACGGGUGAGUAACGCGUAGGUAACCUGCCUGGUAGCGGGGGAUAACUAUUGGAAACGAUAGCUAAUACCGCAUAACAGUAGAUAUUGCAUGAUAUCUGCUUGAAAGGUGCAAUUGCAUCACUACCAGAUGGACCUGCGUUGUAUUAGCUAGUUGGUGAGGUAACGGCUCACCAAGGCGACGAUACAUAGCCGACCUGAGAGGGGGAUCGGCCACGCUGGGACUGAGACACGGCCCAGACUCCUACGGGAGGCAGCAGUAGGGAAUCUUCGGCAAUGGACGGAAGUCUGACCGAGCAACGCCGCGUGAGUGAAGAAGGUUUUCGGAUCGUAAAGCUCUGUUGUAAGAGAAGAACGAGUGUGAGAGUGGAAAGUUCACACUGUGACGGUAUCUUACCAGAAAGGGACGGCUAACUACGUG